rnacentral:rRNA from 1 species
CAUGUUGAAAAUCAAUUCCCGGUACCCGAAACCGACACAGGUGGGCAAGUAGAGAAUACUAAGGGGCGCGAGGUAACUCUCUCCAAGGAACUCGGCAAAAUGACCCCGUAACUUAGGGAGAAGGGGUGCCACCGAGAGGUGGUCGCAGUGAAGAGGCCCAGGCGACUGUUUAGCAAAAACAUAGGUCUCUGCGAACUCGAAAGAGGAGGUAUAGGGGCUGACGCCUGCCCAGUGCCGGAAGGUUAAAGAAGUUGGUCAGUUUUAGGAUGAAGCUAGCGACUGAAGCCCCGGUGAACGGCGGCCGUAACUAUAACGGUCCUAAGGUAGCGAAAUUCCUUGUCGGGUAAGUUCCGACCCGCACGAAAGGCGUAACGAUCUGGGCGCUGUCUCGGAGAGAGGCUCGGCGAAAUAGGAUUGUCUGUGAAGAUACGGACUACCUGCAUUUGGACAGAAAGACCCUAUGAAGCUUUACUAUAGCUUGGAAUUGUGUUCGGGCUUCCUGUGCGCAGGAUAGGUGGGAGGCGUAGAAGGUAUUCUUGUGGGGAUACUGGAGCCAACGGUGAGAUACCACUCUCAGGAGGCUAGAAUUCUAACUUAAUUAAGGACAGUUUCAGGUGGGUAGUUUGACUGGGGCGGUCGCCUCCAAAAAGGUAACGGAGGCGUACAAAGGUUCCCUCAGACUGGUUGGAAAUCAGUCGAAGAGUGCAAAGGCAGAAGGGAGCUUGACUGCGAGAAGUACAGUUCGAGCAGGGUGGAAACACGGUCUUAGUGAUCCGACGGUGCUGUGUGGAAGGGCCGUCGCUCAACGGAUAAAAGUUACUCUAGGAUAACAGGCUGAUCUCCCCCAAGAGUUCACAUCGACGGGGAGGUUUGGCACCUCGAUGUCGGCUCAUCGCAACCUGGGGCGGAAGUACGUCCCAAGGGUUGGGCUGUUCGCCCAUUAAAGCGGUACGUGAGCUGGGUUCAGAACGUCGUGAGACAGUUCGGUCCAUAUCCGAUGUAGGCGUGAGAAUAUUGAGAGGAGCCUUCCUUAGUACGAGAGGACCGGGAAGGACGCACCGCUGGUGUACCUGUUAUGAUGCCAAUUGUAAACGCAGGGUAGCCAAGUGCGGAGAGGAUAACCGCUGAAAGCAUCUAAGUGGGAAGCCCACCUCAAGAUGAGUAUUCUGGUGUAAGGUCACGGGAAGACGACCCGUAAAUAGGCACGAGGUGGAAGUGCAGAGAUGUAUGAAGCCGAAGUGUACUAAUAGACCGUCGGCUUGA